rnacentral:rRNA from 1 species
GACGAACGCUGGCGGCGUGCUUAACACAUGCAAGUCGUACGGUAAGGCCCUUUCGGGGGUACACGAGUGGCGAACGGGUGAGUAACACGUGAGUAACCUGCCCACAACUUUGGGAUAAUGCUAGGAAACUGGUGCUAAUACUGGAUAUGUGCUCCUGCUGCAUGGUGGGGGUUGGAAAGCUCCGGCGGUUGUGGAUGGACUCGCGGCCUAUCAGCUUGUUGGUGGGGUAGUGGCCUACCAAGGCGGCGACGGGUAGCCGGCCUGAGAGGGUGACCGGCCACAUUGGGACUGAGAUACGGCCCAGACUCCUACGGGAGGCAGCAGUGGGGAAUAUUGCACAAUGGGCGCAAGCCUGAUGCAGCAACGCCGCGUGCGGGAUGACGGCCUUCGGGUUGUAAACCGCUUUCAGCAGGGACGAAGCUUUUUGUGACGGUACCUGCAGAAGAAGCACCGGCUAACUACGUG